UUUGAUGGCGACCGGCGCACGGGUGAGUAACACGUAUCCAACCUGCCGAUGACUCGGGGAUAGCCUUUCGAAAGAAAGAUUAAUACCCGAUGGCAUAGUUCUUCCGCAUGGUAGAACUAUUAAAGAAUUUCGGUCAUCGAUGGGGAUGCGUUCCAUUAGCUUGUUGGCGGGGUAACGGCCCNCCAAGGCAUCGAUGGAUAGGGGUUCUGAGAGGAAGGUCCCCCACAUUGGAACUGAGACACGGUCCAAACUCCUACGGGAGGCAGCAG
rnacentral:rRNA from 1 species